ensembl:lncRNA
GACGCAUACGAGUUACUUGUGAAUAUGCUGUGCCAGCUGAAGGAGAAGGGCAUGAUAGUGAAGAUGCUCGGAGUGAACUAUACCUGCCCUGUUUCCCAACUGGAGUUCCAGCUUGCGUCAGUGCGCACAUGUACCAGUGUGCUGAUUCUGCAUCUGAAGAGGUUUGGAGGACCUGGGGGGUUGGAGAAGCUGGAGACUCCUCUUUUGUUUCCUUCGGAGCUGAGGCUCUCCACCUUCUGUGGGGACACGGUGCCACCCCUGCACAGUGCCAGCCCAUAGGCCCUCACCAACCAGACCCUCGCCAGCAAAGUACCCAGCCCACCUGGAGAGGCCAAAGAUAGCGACCUCUGCUGUUCAGCAGCCAGUGAAGUCAGUGAAUGGCUACUACCAGCUGACGCGGGAGGCUCCGCAAACUCCGGGCACUACAUUAGUGACAUCUUGAAUGCAAGUGGAAACUGGUUCUACUGUAACCACAGCCAGGUCUCAAUGUACAAUGAAGCCACUGUGCUGAGGACCAGAGCCCAGAGUGCUUACCUGCUCUUCUAUUUGUUCAGAGCAGGAGAGGAGGCCCCAGCACACAGGGCCUAACAGGGCCACCAGUCCCAGCCUCAACAGGGGCAGCACUGACCCAGCCUCACAUCCCCAGCCCAACCUCAACACCUCCAUGUUUGCCC